AAUCAACGCUGGCGGCGUGCCUCAGACAUGCAAGUCGAACGAUUAAGACUUCCUUCGGGAAGUGUAUAAAGUGGCGCACGGGUGAGUAACACGUAAGUAAUCUACCUUCGAGUGGGGAAUAACAUCGGGAAACCGAUGCUAAUACCGCAUAAUGCAGCGGCAUCGCAAGAUGACAGUUGUUAAAGGAGCAAUUCGCUUGAAGAGGAGCUUGCGGCAGAUUAGCUAGUUGGUAAGGUAAUGGCUUACCAAGGCUACGAUCUGUAUCCGGUCUAAGAGGACGGUCGGACACACUGACACUGAAUAACGGGUCAGACUCCUACGGGAGGCAGCAGUCGGGAAUUUUGGGCAAUGGGCGAAAGCCUGACCCAGCAACGCCGCGUGAGGGAUGAAGUAUUUCGGUAUGUAAACCUCGAAAGAAUGGGAAGAAUAAAUGACGGUACCAUUUAUAAGCUCCGGCUAACUACGUGCCAGCCGCCGCUGUAACAC
rnacentral:rRNA from 1 species